GCCCCAGAUGAUAAGCAGACACGGUGCGACAGCGCUCGCCGGAGAAAGAUUCCAUAGCACCAUGGCGACGCCUACUGAAAGAACACGUUUGCUUGACGACAGUGAAGACAUAUCGGAGUGUGCCUAAGGUUUCUCAAGUGUUGACGGUGGUUCAGCACAGUAGUCAACGAAGUUAUGAAGAAUGACGUCAGACGUUCGUGCUUGCCGUGCCUCCUGACACGAGACGGACAGUUCCUGAUGAAACGGACACAUAAUAAGUGGAUGGCCAAGAUUUCAUUAUAUCACUACAUUCUUCAAACAUGCCAAGACUUUGGUUCGGUAAACCUUGCCGCUGG